CACGUAGGGUGCGAGCGUUGUCCGGAAUUAUUGGGCGUAAAGAGCUCGUAGGCGGUGUGUCGCGUCGGCCGUGAAAACCUGCAGCUUAACUGUGGGCUUGCGGUCGAUACGGGCAUCACUGGAGUUCGGCAGGGGAGACUGGAAUUCCCAGUGUAGAGGUGAAAUUCGUAGAUAUUGGGAAGAACACCGGUGGCGAAGGCGGCUCUCUGGACCGAUACUGACGCUGAGGCGCGAAAGCGUGGGGAGCAAACAGG
rnacentral:rRNA from 1 species